rnacentral:rRNA from 1 species
GAUGAACGCUGGCGGCGUGCCUAAUACAUGCAAGUCGAGCGAACAGACGAGGCGCUUGCUCCUCUGACGUUAGCGGCGGACGGGUGAGUCACACGUGGAUAACCUACCUAUAAGACUGGGAUAACUUCGGGAAACCGGAGCUAAUACAGGAUAAUAUAUUGAACCGCAUGGUUCAAUAGUGAAAGACGGUUUUGCUGUCACUUAUAGAUGGAUCCGCGCCGCAUUAGCUAGUUGGUAAGGUAACGGCUUACCAAGGCGACGAUGCGUAGCCGAUCUGAGAGGGUGAUCGGCCACACUGGAACUGGGACACGGUCCAGACUCCUACGGGAGGCAGCAGUAGGGAAUCUUCCGCAAUGGGCGAAAGCCUGACGGAGCAACGCCGCGUGAGUGAUGAAGGUCUUCGGAUCGUAAAACUCUGUUAUUAGGGAAGAACAAAUGUGUAAGUAACUAUGCACGUCUUGACGGUACCUAAUCAGAAAGCCACGGCUAACUACGUG